rnacentral:rRNA from 1 species
CUUAAUANGUUAUCUGCUCAUGAUAUUAAAUAGCCGCAGAUAUUCUGUGCUAAGGUAGCAUAAUCAUUCGUUUUUUAAUUGAAAUCCAGAACAAAAGAUUAAACAUUUCAAUUAUUAUUUUAAUUUUAAAUUUUAAAAUUAUCUUAAAUGUAAAAAGACAUUUAUAAAAAAGAAAGACGACAAGACCCUAUUGAGCUUAACUUUAGUUAAACUGGGGCAGUAAAAUAAUUAUUAUUUUAUAAUUCUAAAUUUUUAAAAACCUAAUAUAAUUAAAAUUAUUAAGUUACCUUAGGGAUAACAGCGUAAUAUUUAUUUAAAGCUCAUAUUAAAAUAAAUGAUUGCGACCUCGAUGUUGAAUUAAUUACCUACAUUAUGUAAAAGUAAUGAAAGGAAGUCUGUUCGACUUAUAAAUAAUUACAUGAUCUGAGUCAAAANCCGGAGA